GUGGCUGUAGCUCAGUGGUAGAGCACUUGUCUAGCUAAGUGCAAGGCCCUGAGUUCAAUCCUCAGUAGCACACA
rnacentral:tRNA from 1 species